UACGUAGGAGGCGAGCGUUGUCCGGAAUUAUUGGGCGUAAAGGGUGCGUAGGCGGCCUGACAAGUCUGAUGUGAAAUCCCUGGGCUCAACCCAGGGCCUGCAUCGGAAACUGUCGGGCUUGAGUAUGGGAGAGGUGAGUGGAAUUUCCGGUGUAGCGGUGAAAUGCGUAGAUAUCGGAAGGAACACCUGUGGCGAAAGCGGCUCACUGGACCAUUACUGACGCUGAGGCACGAAAGCUAGGGGAGCAAACAGG
rnacentral:rRNA from 1 species